rnacentral:misc_RNA from 1 species
CAGUGACCUGCGCGCCGCGCCGCUUGCCGAACGCGCCGAGCUAGCAUCAUGACGGACUUCAACAACGUUGUAUUUCCCCGCAAAUUACUGAAGAAAUUCAUCCUAUUAUACAAAGAACAAGCCUGCCUCUGGGACCGACAAUCUGUUUUGUACAAAAACAAACAGAAAAGACACGAUGCGGUCUCGAAACUAACAGAAUUAGUACGUGAAUACGAUCCAGGCGCGACUAGGGUUCACGUGCUCAGAAAAAUCGAGAGCUUGCGAGCAUGCGUACGCCGUGAACACAAACGAGUACUCGACAGCCGGCGGAAGGCGACUAGCGAUGAUGAAAUAUACACCCCACAGCUAUGGUAUUACGACUUAUUUUCAUUUGUGUUCAAAGAGGAAGGGAGCAAUCACAAGAUAAAAACUGACACCACUCCGACCGAACAAGAAUCUGAGGAAGAAGAAGUCAUAGAUAAUGAGGAACAGUCGUUCGAAACUCAGACAUAUCCAAUAGAAUAUAAUACCAUGGUUGAAGUCUCAGAAAGUCCAUCCACUUCAAAACCAUAUGCCUUUGAAGAGGAUCAGAAUAAAAAUGGAAAACGACCAUGGACAGAGAUAGAAGACGAAUACGACGCUAUAGAAUUUUUUAUUCGCUAUCGUUCUGAAAAUGGGAGUAUUAAGGCCUAAUAGUAUACAACUCGGAGCAUAUAAACCCCAAAGGUUGUGAGUCUUAAUGUAACUGAUGCCGACAAGGUUUAUGGAUUUAAAUAUCCGACUAAUUAUCAUGUGAAGGAAAAUACUGUAUUACAUUUACUGCAGCGAUAAUAGUCGACAAAUGCUUCUAAUUAUUUCAUCAGGUGUCAAUGUAGCUGCAAAGCUUCGCAAUCUUCCGACCAACGUGAGCAUAUUAGCUGAGAAGUUGAUCAACGACGUACUCUUCCAUGCUCAGAUGAAUGGA